AACAAGGGGAUGAAAAGGCCUGGGACCCAGAGUGGAAGUCCCAGACGUCUUCCCACACUGGCCUUGUGGUCUGUGUGGGUCACUUGACCUGGGGGCCUCAGUCUCCUUCUCUGUACAAAGGGGUUCAUAUCACCUCCAGCCCCAGCAGCCAGCACCAGGCCAGAGGCUCCUCAUGGUAGGACUCGGGAGCCAAGGGAAGUGCAGGCGAGCUGUAGCCUCUGGCAGAACAGUUGAUCACUUGCAGAACCCAGACAAAUAGCACAAAGCCCGGGUCCCCAUGCAGCAGUUUCCUCGGAGGGGGAGAAGGUGCAUUCUCUGCAGCAAGGCCCAGCCAACCACCCAAACAAUAGACCACACUUCCACGCUGCAUGGCCUCGUCCAGUCUCUGAGGUUCUAGGGCCUUCUGAGGUGCCAGUGAGGCACGGAGACUCAGAAUGAAGGUAUCUGUGGGUGGCAGCAGAGCUUCAAGAGUAAAAAUAAAGUGGACUUUGUAGGAUGACCCAAAUGCCCAUCACUGCAGAAUGGGUGAAUAGACUGUUCCCAUCACACAACGGAACCCUCCUCAUACAGCAGCAAAGAACUUCCGCCAUAACACAGUAACACCGAUGGAUCUCCUGAGCGUAAUGACGAGUGAAAAAAGCCAGACACAAAGAAGUCCAGACUGUGUGAUACCACUGAGA